UACAGAGGGUGCGAGCGUUAAUCGGAAUUACUGGGCGUAAAGGGUGCGUAGGUGGCUCAUUGAGUUGGAUGUGAAAUACCCGGGCUUAACCUGGGGAAGCCAUUCAAGACGGCUUAGAUUGAGUAGUGUAGAGGGAGGUAGAAUUUCCGGUGUAGCGGUGAAAUGCGUAGAUAUUGGAAGGAAUACCGGUGGCGAAGGCGACUGCCUGGACACUAACUGACACUGAGGCACGAAAGCGUGGGGAGCGAACAGG
rnacentral:rRNA from 1 species